rnacentral:rRNA from 1 species
GUAGGGGGGGCGAGCGUUGUCCGGAUUUAUUGGGCGUAAAGAGCUCGUAGGCGGGCUUGGCAAGUCGGCCGUGAAAGUCCGAGGGCUCAACCUCGGAACGCCGGUCGAAACUGCCAUGGCUAGGGUCCGGUAGAGGAGAGUGGAAUUCCCGGUGUAGCGGUGAAAUGCGCAGAUAUCGGGAGGAACACCAGUAGCGAAGGCGGCUCUCUGGGCCGGUACCGACGCUGAGGAGCGAAAGCGUGGGGAGCAAACAGGAUUAGAUACCCUGGUAGUCCACGCCGUAAACGUUGGGCACUAGGUGUGGCGAGUUAUACCAACGCUUGCUGUGCCGUAGCUAACGCAUUAAGUGCCCCGCCUGGGGAGUACGGUCGCAAGGCUA